CAUGAUGAGGCAGGGAUUGAUUUCCUCCUACAAUUCCCAGGUGACCAUCUGUGACUGACAGAAGUCAAGAGAGAGAACUCAAGGAAGGAAACUGGAGGAGCAACAAACAGCCAGAACCUGGAAGCAACCCAGAUGCCCCUCAACUGAAGAAUGAAUAGAGAAAAUGUCCAAAAUGUAUAAAUUGUACAUUUAUACAAUGAAGUACUACUCAGCAGAAAAAAGCAAUGGAAUCUUGAAAUUCGCAGGCAAAUGGAUGGAACUAGAAGAAACCAUCCUGAGUGAGGUAACCCAGUCACAAAAAGACAAAUAUGCAGAGCAACUGAAAGUGACACUUGAUUGUCUGCACUAAACAUUGAUGGGAAGUUGAAUCUGAGUUCAAUUCUACAGUGAAUGCUAGCGG
rnacentral:lncRNA from 1 species